UACGUAGGGGGCUAGCGUUGUCCGGAAUCAUUGGGCGUAAAGAGCGUGUAGGCGGCCCGGUAAGUCCGCUGUGAAAGUCGGGGGCUCAACCCUCGAAAGCCGGUGGAUACUGUCGGGCUAGAGUGCGGAAGAGGCGAGUGGAAUUCCUGGUGGUAGCGGUGAAAUGCGCAGAUAUCAGGAGGAACACCGAUUGCGAAGGCAGCUCGCUGGGACGUAACUGACGCUGAGACGCGAAAGCGUGGGGAGCAAACAGG
rnacentral:rRNA from 1 species